CAGCGGACUUGCUGGAGCUUGCUCCAGCAGGUUAGCGGCGGACGGGUGAGUAACACGUGGGCAACCUGCCUGUAAGACUGGGAUAACUCCGGGAAACCGGAGCUAAUACCGGAUAGUAUCUUGAACCGCAUGGUUCAAGUUGGAAAGACGGUUUCGGCUGUCACUUACAGAUGGGCCCGCGGCGCAUUAGCUAGUUGGUGAGGUAAUGGCUCACCAAGGCAACGAUGCGUAGCCGACCUGAGAGGGUGAUCGGCCACACUGGGACUGAGACACGGCCCAGACUCCUACGGGAGGCAGCAGUAGGGAAUCUUCCGCAAUGGACGAAAGUCUGACGGAGCAACGCCGCGUGAGUGAUGAAGGUUUUCGGAUCGUAAAACUCUGUUGUUAGGGAAGAACAAGUGCGAGAGUAACUGCUCGCACCUUGACGGUACCUAACCAGAAAGCCACGGCUAACUACGUGCCAGCAGCCGCGGUAAUACGUAGGUGGCAAGCGUUGUCCGGAAUUAUUGGGCGUAAAGCGCGCGCAGGCGGUUUCUUAAGUCUGAUGUGAAAGCCCCCGGCUCAACCGGGGAGGGUCAUUGGAAACUGGGAAACUUGAGUGCAGAAGAGGAGAGUGGAAUUCCACGUGUAGCGGUGAAAUGCGUAGAGAUGUGGAGGAACACCAGUGGCGAAGGCGACUCUCUGGUCUGUAACUGA
rnacentral:rRNA from 1 species